GCUUGCAUUGGCAGAGUAUAUACUAAAAUUGAAAUGAUACAGGGAAGAUUAGAAUAGCCUCUUUGUAAGGAAGGCAUUCAGAUUUCUGAAGUGUCCUUUAUUUAU
ensembl:snRNA U6 U6 spliceosomal RNA